ACUCCUACGGGAGGCAGCAGUGGGGAAUAUUGCACAAUGGGCGCAAGCCUGAUGCAGCCAUGCCGCGUGUGUGAAGAAGGCCUUCGGGUUGUAAAGCACUUUCAGUUGUGAGGAAGGUGGUGUCGUUAAUAGCGGCAUCAUUUGACGUUAGCAACAGAAGAAGCACCGGCUAACUCCGUGCCAGCAGCCGCGGUAAUACGGAGGGUGCGAGCGUUAAUCGGAAUUACUGGGGCGUAAAGCGCAUGCAGGUGGUUUGUUAAGUCAGAUGUGAAAGCCCGGGGCUCAACCUCGGAACUGCAUUUGAAACUGGCAGACUAGAGUACUGUAGAGGGGGUAGAAUUUCAGGUGUAGCGGUGAAAUGCGUAGAGAUCUGAAGGAAUACCGGUGGCGAAGGCGGCCCCCUGGACAGAUACUGACACUCAGAUGCGAAAGCGUGGGGAGCAAACAGGAUUAGAUACCCGUGGUAGCACAGAG
rnacentral:rRNA from 1 species